rnacentral:rRNA from 1 species
AGAGUUUGAUCCUGGCUCAGAGUGAACGCUGGCGGCAGGCCUAACACAUGCAAGUCGAGCGGCAGCGCGGGGGCAACCCUGGCGGCGAGCGGCGGACGGGUGAGGAACACAUCGGAAUCUACCCUGUCGUGGGGGACAACGUAGGGAAACUUACGCUAAUACCGCAUGAUCUGGAGACAGCAAAGCGGGGGACCGGCAACGGCCUCGCGCGAUGGGAUGAGCCGAUGUCCGAUUAGCUAGUUGGCGGGUAAGAGCCCACCAAGGCGACGAUCGGUAGCUGGUCUGAGAGGACGACCAGCCACACUGGAACUGAGACACGGUCCAGACUCCUACGGGAGGCAGCAGUGGGGAAUAUUGGACAAUGGGGGCAACCCUGAUCCAGCCAUGCCGCGUGGGUGAAGAAGGCCUUCGGGUUGUAAAGCCCUUUUGUACGGGAAGAAAAGUCGUCGGGUAAUAUCCGGCGAUGCUGACGGUACCGUAAGAAUAAGCACCGGCUAACUUCGUGCCAGCAGCCGCGGUAAUACGAAGGGUGCAAGCGUUACUCGGAAUUACUGGGCGUAAAGCGUGCGUAGGUGGUGAGUUAAGUCUGAUGUGAAAUCCCCGGGCUCAACCUGGGAAUGGCAUUGGAUACUGGCUCGCUCGAGUGCGGUAGAGGGUGGUGGAAUUCCCGGUGUAGCAGUGAAAUGCGUAAGAUCGGGAGGAACAUCUGUGGCGAAGGCG